UACGAAGGGGGCUAGCGUUGUUCGGAUUAACUGGGCGUAAAGGGUGCGUAGGCGGGUUUUUAAGUCAGGGGGGAAAUCCCGAGGCUCAACCUCGGAACUGCCUUUGAUACUGGAAAUCUUGAGUCUGGGAGAGGUGAGUGGAACUGCGGGUGUAGAGGUGAAAUUCGUAGAUAUUCGCAAGAACACCGGUGGCGAAGGCGGCUCACUGGCCCGGAACUGACGCUGAGGCACGAAAGCGUGGGGAGCAAACAGG
rnacentral:rRNA from 1 species